rnacentral:lncRNA from 1 species
GAAUGCUACUCAUAUAGCACAAGGGUCUCAGGAGUCUUGUAUCACACGAACUGGGGACUUCCUUGGGGAGACUAUUGGGAAUGAAUUAUUUAAUUGUCGACAAUUUAUUGGUCCACAGCAUCACCACCACCACCACCACCAUCACCACCACCACGAUGGAGACAGAGUAUUGCUAUGUUGCCCAGGCUGGUCUUGAACCCCAGACCUCAGUGCUUUUGCCGCAGCCUCCCAAAGCUCUGGGAUUACAGGCGCAUAUGGUUGAUGAUAUGCUAAGUGCAGAUGAUGUCAGUUGUAGUAGCUCCCAGGUUAGUGCAAAAUCAGAAAAAAAUAUGGCUGAUUUUGAUGGUGAAGAAUCUGGAUGUGAAGAGGAGCUAGUUCAGAUUAAUUCACAUGCGGAACUGACAUCUCACCUCCAACAACAUCUUCCCAAUUUAGCUUCCAUUUACCAUGAACAUCUUAGUCAAGGACCUGUAGUUCAUAAACAUCAAUUCAACAGUAAUGCUGUUACAGACAUUAAUUUGGAUAAUGUUUGCAAGAAAGGAAAUACUUUGUUGUGGGAUAUAGUCCAAGAU